rnacentral:rRNA from 1 species
CCUACGGGUGGCAGCAGUGGGGGAUAUUACACAAUGGGGGAAACCCUGAUGCAGCGACGCCGCGUGGGGGAAGAAGUAUUUCGGAAUGUAAAGCCCUAUCAGCAGGGAAGAAGAAAUGACGGUACCUGAGUAAGAAGCACCGGCUAAAUACGUGCCAGCAGCCGCGGUAAUACGUAGGGCGCAAGCGUUAUCCGGAUUUACUGGGUGUAAAGGGAGCGCAGGCGGAAAGGCAAGGCUGAUGUGAAAGCCCGCGGCGCAACCCGGGGACUGCUUUGGAAACUACCGGGCUGGAGUGCAGGAGAGGUAGGCGGAAUUCCUGGUGUAGCGGUGAAAUGCGUAGAUAUUAGGAGGAACACCGGUGGCGAAGGCGGCCUGCUGGACUGCAACUGACGUUGAGGCCCGAAAGCGUGGGGAGCAAACAGGAUUAGAUACCCCUGUAGUC